CGAUAGUGAAGUAGUACCGUGAGGGAAAGGUGAAAAGAACCCCUGUAGGGGAGUGAAAUAGAACAUGAAACCCUAUGCUGACAAGCAGUGGGAGGUACUUAAGUACUGACCGCGUACCUGUUGAAGAAUGGGCCGGCGACUUAGAAUGCGUGGCAAGGUUAAGGACAAUAAUCCGGAGCCAGAGCGAAAGCAAGUCUGAAUAGGGCGAGUUGAGUCACGUAUUCUAGACCCGAACCCGGGUGAUCUAACCAUGACCAGGAUGAAGCUUGGGUAAUACCACGUGAAGGUCCGAACCCACUGAUGUUGAAAAAUCAGGGGAUGAGUUGUGGUUAGGGGUGAAAUACCAGUCGAACUCGGAGCUAGCUGGUUCUCCUCGAAAUGCGUUGAGGCGCAGCGGUUAGCGAGGCUAUCUAGGGGUAAAGCACUGUUUCGGUGCGGGCGGCGAAAGCUGUACCAAAUCGUGGCAAACUCUGAAUACUAGAUACGCUAUUUUCUAGCCAGUGAGACAGUGGGGGAUAAGCUUCAUUGUCAAGAGGGAAACAGCCCAGAUCACUAGCUAAGGCCCCAAAAUGAUUGUUAAGUGGCAAACGAGGUGGGAUUGUUCAGACAGCCAGAAGGUUUGCUUAGAAGCAGCCAUCCUUUAAAGAGUGCGUAACAGCUCACUGGUC
rnacentral:rRNA from 1 species